rnacentral:rRNA from 1 species
UACGUAGGGUGCAAGCGUUAAUCGGAAUUACUGGGCGUAAAGCGUGCGCAGGCGGUGAUGUAAGACAGAUGUGAAAUCCCCGGGCUCAACCUGGGAACUGCAUUUGUGACUGCAUCGCUGGAGUGCGGCAGAGGGGGGUGGAAUUCCGCGUGUAGCAGUGAAAUGCGUAGAGAUGCGGAGGAACACCGAUGGCGAAGGCAGCCCCCUGGGCCAACACUGACGCUCAGGCACGAAAGCGUGGGGAGCAAACAGG